rnacentral:rRNA from 1 species
UUAGAUACCCUGGUAGUCCACGCCGUAAACGUUGGGCACUAGGUGUGGGGUCUAUUCAACGGACUCCGUGCCGUCGCUAACGCAUUAAGUGCCCCGCCUGGGGAGUACGGCCGCAAGGCUAAAACUCAAAGGAAUUGACGGGGGCCCGCACAAGCAGCGGAGCAUGUUGCUUAAUUCGAGGCAACGCGAAGAACCUUACCUGGGUUUGACAUGUAGAGAAAAGCCACAGAGAUGUGGUGUCCUUCGGGGUUCUACACAGGUGGUGCAUGGUUGUCGUCAGCUCGUGUCGUGAGAUGUUGGGUUAAGUCCCGCAACGAGCGCAACCCUUGUCCUAUGUUGCCAGCACGUAAUGGUGGGGACUCGUAGGAGACUGCCGGGGUCAACUCGGAGGAAGGUGGGGAUGACGUCAAAUCAUCAUGCCCCUUAUAUCCAGGGCUGCAAACAUGCUACAAUGGCCGGUACAAAGGGCUGCUAAACCGCGAGGUGGAGCGAAUCCCAUAAAGCCGGUCUCAGUUCGGAUUGGAGUCUGCAACUCGACUCCAUGAAGCUGGAGUUGCUAGUAAUCCCGGAUCAGCAACGCCGGGGUGAAUACGUUCCCGGGCCUUGUACACACCGCCCGUCACACCAUGAAAGUUGGAAACGCCCGAAGCCAGUGGCCCAACCCCUUGGGGAGGGAGCUGUCGAAGGUGGAAUCAGCGAUUAGGGUG